GCUGGGUGUGGUGGUGCACACCUGUAAUCCCAGGUACUCAGGAGGCUGAGGCAGGAGAAUCACUUGAACCCAGGAGGCAGAGGUUGCAGUGAGCCGAGAUUAUGCCACUGUACUCCAGCCUGGGUGACAGAAUGAGACUCUGUCUUAA
rnacentral:SRP_RNA from 1 species